AGUGAACGCUGGCGGUAGGCCUAACACAUGCAAGUCGAACGGCAGCACAGUAAGAGCUUGCUCUUACGGGUGGCGAGUGGCGGACGGGUGAGGAAUACAUCGGAAUCUACUUUUUCGUGGGGGUUAACGUAGGGAAACUUACGCUAAUACCGCAUACGACCUACGGGUGAAAGCAGGGGAUCUUCGGACCUUGCGGGAUUGAAUGAGCCGAUGUCGGAUUAGCUAGUUGGCGGGGUAAAGGCCCACCAAGGCGACGAUCGGUAGCUGGUCUGAGAGGAUGAUCAGCCACACUGGAACUGAGACACGGUCCAGACUCCUACGGGAGGCAGCAGUGGGGAAUAUUGGACAAUGGGCGCAAGCCUGAUCCAGCCAUACCGCGUGGGUGAAGAAGGCCUUCGGGUUGUAAAGCCCUUUUGUUGGGAAAGAAAAGCAGCAGGUUAAUACCCCGCUGUUCUGACGGUACCCAAAGAAUAAGCACCGGCUAACUUCGUG
rnacentral:rRNA from 1 species